rnacentral:rRNA from 1 species
CUUGCUCCUUUGACGUUAGCGGCGGACGGGUGAGUAACACGUGGGUAACCUACCUAUAAGACUGGGACAACUUCGGGAAACCGGAGCUAAUACCGGAUAAUAUGUUGAACCGCAUGGUUCAAUAGUGAAAGAUGGUUUUGCUAUCACUUAUAGAUGGACCCGCGCCGUAUUAGCUAGUUGGUGAGGUAACGGCUCACCAAGGCAACGAUACGUAGCCGACCUGAGAGGGUGAUCGGCCACACUGGAACUGAGACACGGUCCAGACUCCUACGGGAGGCAGCAGUAGGGAAUCUUCCGCAAUGGGCGAAAGCCUGACGGAGCAACGCCGCGUGAGUGAUGAAGGUCUUAGGAUCGUAAAACUCUGUUAUUAGGGAAGAACAAACGUGUAAGUAACUGUGCACGUCUUGACGGUACCUAAUCAGAAAGCCACGGCUAACUACGUGCCAGCAGCCGCGGUAAUACGUAGGUGGCAAGCGUUAUCCGGAAUUAUUGGGCGUAAAGCGCGCGUAGGCGGUUUUUUAAGUCUGAUGUGAAAGCCCACGGCUCAACCGUGGAGGGUCAUUGGAAACUGGAAAACUUGAGUGCAGAAGAGGAAAGUGGAAUUCCAUGUGUAGCGGUGAAAUGCGCAGAGAUAUGGAGGAACACCAGUGGCGAAGGCGACUUUCUGGUCUGUAACUGACGCUGAUGUGCGAAAGCGUGGGGAUCAAACAGGAUUA